GUUUCCGUAGUGUAGUGGUUAUCACGUCCGCCUAACACGCGGAAGGUCGCCGGUUCGAGCCCGGCCGGAAACA
rnacentral:tRNA from 1 species